GGCAUCAGGAAGAAAGCUUGCUUUCUUUGCUGGCGACCGGCGCACGGGUGAGUAACACGUAUCCAACCUGCCCUUUACUCGGGGAUAGCCUUUCGAAAGAAAGAUUAAUACCCGAUAGCAUAAUGAUUCCGCAUGGUUUCAUUAUUAAAGGAUUCCGGUAAAGGAUGGGGAUGCGUUCCAUUAGGUUGUUGGUGAGGUAACGGCUCACCAAGCCUUCGAUGGAUAGGGGUUCUGAGAGGAAGGUCCCCCACAUUGGAACUGAGACACGGUCCAAACUCCUACGGGAGGCAGCAGUGAGGAAUAUUGGUCAAUGGGCGCUAGCCUGAACCAGCCAAGUAGCGUGAAGGAUGAAGGCUCUAUGGGUCGUAAACUUCUUUUAUAUAAGAAUAAAGUGCAGUAUGUAUACUGGUUUGUAUGUAUUAUAUGAAUAAGGAUCGGCUAACUCCGUGCCAGCAGCCGCGGUAAUACGGAGGAUCCGAGCGUUAUCCGGAUUUAUUGGGUUUAAAGGGAGCGUAGGUGGACUGGUAAG
rnacentral:rRNA from 1 species